rnacentral:rRNA from 1 species
AAGGAUCCCUAGUAACGGCGAGUGAAGCGGGGAAGAGCUCAAAUUUGAAAUCUGGGUGGGCUCCAGGUCAUCCGAGUUGUAAUCUAUAGAAGUGUUUUCCGUGCUGGCUCAUGUACAAGUCCCUUGGAACAGGGCGUCAUAGAGGGUGAGAAUCCCGUCCUUGACAUGAACUACCAGUGCUCUGUGAUACAUUUUCAACGAGUCGAGUUGUUUGGGGAAUGCAGCUCAAAAUGGGUGGUAAAUUCCAUCUAAAAGCUAAAUAUUUGGCGAGAGACCGAUAGCGAACAAAGUACCGUGAGGGAAAGAUGAAAAGCCCUUUUGGAAGAGAGUUAAACAGUAUGUGAAAUUGUUAAAAGGGGAAACGAUUUGAGUCAGUCGUGCUCUUUGGAUUCAGCCGGGUUCUGCCGGGUGUACUUCCUUUGAGUGGGGGUCAACAAUCAAGUUUUGAUCGCUGGAUAAAAGGCUGGAGGAACCGUACACCCCCCGGGGUGAACUUAUAACCUCCUGUCACAUAAAGUGGUUGGGACUGAGGACAGCAGCACGCCUUUAUGGCAAGGAUCCGUCCAUGUACGUGCUUAAGGAUGUUGACAUAAUGGCUUAAACGACCCGUCUUGAACACGGACCAAGGAGUCUACAUAUCUGCGAGUAUUUGGGUGCAAACCCAAGUGCGCAAUGA